AGAGGUUACUGAAGAAUUUGAUAAAAUUAUAAAGGAUACUUAGUACAAGAGAACUGUGACCAUACAGAAUUCGCUUCUACAUUCAUAAAUUAAUGGGGGUGGUGGUAGGAAAAUAAGUAACGUUUAUAAAUAUUACUGUCUUUAAAAACAUUGUAUGCCCUUAAAUGCCAACCAUAACAUUUUCACAACAACUUUCUUCAUCCUUCAGAAAAAGCUUGGAGGUAUAUCUCCAAGGUGGCGUUAGUCAUUUGUGUCACUGAAGCCUUGAUUCUUUUCCUUGAACUGAUUCCUGGCAUUUCCACAUCCCCUGUUACACUUUACCUUAUAUUUUGGCUCGUUUCUGGUGUGCUCAUUUUCUCAGAGAGGGAAUAUAACACUGGCCAGGCUAAUUUUUUCUCCCUAAAGUAUAAUCACCUAUAAACAAAAGAAAGGACACGUGUAAGCAUUUGGGAUUAUACAUAAUAAAGUAAAAGUCCCCUGCCCCAAGCUGGGGAACCAUGCCAUGUUGUGGCAGGGUGAAUAUGUGGGUAAAGAAGGGAAUACAGAAGUAUUAUAACACACAGUUAGUUGACCCCUAAGGAAGAGGUCACAAGCUUUAGAUGUCAACCUCUACCCAUGAGCAUACUAUGAGAGCAGAGAGCAGAAGUGGUUUAUAGGUCAUAGUCUGGGUAGAUUCUCAGGAAAACGCCAGAUCCCAAAGUUUGAUAAACAUUUCACAGACCACGUUUAUACUCUUAUGCUCACCAGCACUAUGAGAGUGGGAUACAUAGUAGUCUACUGGUCCCAACAUCUUUGAAAAUAAUCCCUGAUCUAAAAUUUCUGAGGUUCAUAUGCCCUGCAUGACAAACCUCAGUGAAAAGUGGCAAUUGGUGGUACAGCUUCUUAUUAAGGAGCCUACACAUUUUACAGUAGAUUUCAGGAAUGCAUUAGGGGCUUUCAGUAAUGAAUUUCCCAACCUCGUAUUCUCAUUUUCUUCUGAAGACAUGGAAAGAAGCAUAACACUCAAGGUUGACUCAGUGCUUACAAGUCUGGAUUGGAUUCUCAUGGGAACUUGUAAUUUCAUGGCCUGAAAUGUGCAUUUUCAGGGGAAAAACUAAUAACUUCUUUGAUCAGCAGUACAAUUUUUUUCUGAGAAAUUCAUAGAGGAGACAGUUUGAGGGUAGAAGAAACAGAGGGCAGCAGAAAGGGCAUUCAUUUAGAAGUGAAGGAAACUUAAAAGGAGCUCAAUUUUAAGAUUGAGAAGAAGUUUCAUUGUAGGCCUUGGAACAAAUAAGAGGAGAGGGUGUGA
rnacentral:lncRNA from 1 species